GACGAACGCUGGCGGCGUGCUUAACACAUGCAAGUCGAACGGAAAGGCCCUGCUUUUGUGGGGUGCUCGAGUGGCGAACGGGUGAGUAACACGUGAGUAACCUGCCCUUGACUUUGGGAUAACUUCAGGAAACUGGGGCUAAUACCGGAUAGGAGCUCCUGCUGCAUGGUGGGGGUUGGAAAGUUUCGGCGGUUGGGGAUGGACUCGCGGCUUAUCAGCUUGUUGGUGGGGUAGUUGCUUACCAAGGCUUUGACGGGUAGCCGGCCUGAGAGGGUGACCGGCCACAUUGGGACUGAGAUACGGCCCAGACUCCUACGGGAGGCAGCAGUGGGGAAUAUUGCACAAUGGGCGGAAGCCUGAUGCAGCAACGCCGCGUGCGGGAUGACGGCCUUCGGGUUGUAAACCGCUUUCGCCUGUGACGAAGCGUGAGUGACGGUAAUGGGGAAAGAAGCACCGGCUAACUACGU
rnacentral:rRNA from 1 species